GGGCCUACGGGUGGCAGCAGUAGGGAAUCUUGCGCAAUGGGCGAAAGCCUGACGCAGCGACACCGUGUGAAGGAUGAAGGCCUUCGGGUCGUAAACUUCUGUCAAUUGGAGACGAAGGUAGUAAGGUUAAUAGCCCCAAUACUGACGGUAUCCAAUAAGGAAGUCUCGGCUAACUCCGUGCCAGCAGCCGCGGUAAGACGGAGGAGGCAAGCGUUGUCCGGAAUCAUUGGGCGUAAAGAGCGCGUAGGCUGUUUUCCAAGUCGUAUGUGAAAACCUCAGGCUUAACUUGAGGAUUGCAUAUGAUACUGGUUAACUUGAGUGCAGUAGAGGAAAGUGGAAUUCCUGGUGUAGCGGUAAAAUGCGCAGAUAUCAGGAAGAACACCAGUGGCGAAGGCGGCUUUCUGGGCUGCUACUGACGCUGAGGCGCGAAAGCUAGGGGAGCGAACAGGAUUAGAUACCCUUGUAGUCAGC
rnacentral:rRNA from 1 species